CCUACGGGAGGCUGCAGUGGGGAAUAUUGCGCAAUGGGGGAAACCCUGAUGCAGCGACGCCGCGUGAUGGAAGAAGUAUUUCGGUAUGUAAACUUCUAUCAUCGGGGACGAAAUUGACGGUUCCUGGCUAAGUAGCCUCCGCUAACUACGUGCCAGCAGCCGCGGUAAUACGGAGGGGGCAAGCGUUAUCCGGAUUUACUGGGUGUAAAGGGAGCGUAGGCGGGUUAGCAAGUCAGAAGUGAAAGCCGGGGGCUCAACUCCGGGACUGCUUUUGAAACCGCUGGACUAGAUUGCAGGAGAGGUAAGUGGAAUUCCCAGUGUAGCGGUGAAAUGCGUAGAUAUUAGGAGGAACACCAGUGGCGAAGGCGGCUUACUGGACAGUAAAUGACGCUGAGGCGCGAAAGCGUGGGGAGCAAACAGGAUUAGAUACCCGUGUAGUC
rnacentral:rRNA from 1 species